rnacentral:tRNA from 1 species
GCCCUCUUAGCUCACUCGGUAGAGCAUCGGACUUUCAAUCUGAGGGUCGCGGGUUCGAUUCCCACACAGGGCG